GUGAACUCGAGGUUCACAAGCAUAACUCACGUGUAAGUCUCAUAGGAAACCAUGAUUUCUAGCUUCAUUGUGAGCUAGAUCCAUGUCCUCUAAACUCAUUAGGUUCCAUUCGAACCAUUAAAAGUAACAAAAACCUCCCAAACCCUAGAAAUCACAAAUUAGGGUUGAGGCUUACCUCUAAGGUUUGCUCCAAAGCAAGCCCUAGCUUGAGGAAGAGGAGGGAGAGAAGCUUCUUCUUCUUCUCCUUGAUCUUCUCCCUCCUUUCCUUCUUCUCUUCUUCUUCUUUCUCUCCUUCUUUUCUUCUUCUCCUUCUUCUACGGUCAGAGAGAGAGAGCUAAGUGAGAGGGAGAGAGAGAGGCUAAGAGUGAGAGCGAGGCUGAGAGAGAGAGGUAUUAUAACCCUCUAAUGUAACAAAAUCCCAAAAAGCCCCUCUAUUUUCUAUUUUUCCAACUUGACCUGCAGUUUCGGGUCCCUUGUACCGGUACACGGGUUCUUGUACCGGUACAAGGCCUGGCAGACAGCCCAACCCGAGGCUCGGUUUCUCGGUUUCGCAGGGCUUGUACCGGUACAAGGCCCCCUUGUACCGGUACAAGGCCUGGCCGCCCCCCAACCCGAGAGAUGCGAUGGUUGUACCGGUACAGCCAUCACCCUUAUACCGGUACAACAGCUCCAGAAUGCUGUUUUCACUUCUCUUCAGCUCUACUUCGCGCCGAUCGAUGUCAAAACCAUUCCAACUCCUUUGGAACUCAUUUUGCUCUUCCAAACUUGUUGGAAUACCGAAUGGAACUAGUCCAAACCGUUCAAUUACUCACUUUGGUCCAUUUGGCCAAAGUUAGCCAAAAUCCUUCGAGUUCAAUAUCUCACAUUCUCCACCACUUAAAAGGAGUUUCGUCCCCGAAACAACCAAAUCAUAACUUGAACAAAACUCUUACCUCAAUCCUCGAACAAGUGAGAAUGAUUCGCUUUCAUCUGGUCCUCGAGUCCCCAAGUGGCUUCGCGAUCGUCGUGAUUGCGCCACCGAACCUUAACAUAGAAAAUCUUUCGAUUCCUUAACUUACGCACCUCUCGAGCCAAAAUCUCUACCGGAAACUCUUCAUAGCUCAUAUCCUCUUGAAGCUCUGGCGACUCAUAAACUAGAACAUGCUCGGGAUCAUGCACGUACUUGCGAAGAUUGGAGACGUGGAAGACAUUGUGCACACCCGCAUGCUUCGGGGGCAAUGCAAGUCGGUACGCCACCGUCCUAAUUCGCUCCAAGAUCUCGUAGGGGCCAAUAUAACGAGGACUUAGCUUCCCUCGCACCCCAAACCUCUUCACGCCUCGCAUCGGCGAAACCUUCAAAAACACGCGUUCACCCACCGCGAACUCCAAAUCUCUACGGCGUUUAUCUGAAUAGCUCUUCUGUCGCGACUGCGCCGUGAGCAACCUUUUGCGAGCAAGGUGGACUUUCUCCUCCGCCUCCUGCAAAACAUUCGGACCGAACUCAACUCGCUCGCCUACAUCACUCCAAUAAAUGGGAGAUCGACACUUCUGCCCGUAGAGAGCCUCGAACGGUGCUAUUCCUACGCUGGCAUGAUAACUGUUGUUGUAGGCGAACUCGGCCAUCGGCAGAUGCUUACACCAACCGCCCUUGUAGUCAAUAACACACGCUCGCAGCAUAUCCUCCAGAGUCUGAAUAGUCUUCUCAGUCUGCCCAUCUGUCUGGGGAUGAAAUGUAGUGCUAAACUCGAGACGCGUACCAAGGGCACCCUGCAGGUUCCUCCAGAAAUGUGAGGUAAACUUGGGGUCUCGAUCUGAUACAAUCGACUUCGGUACCCCGUGAAGCCUCACCUGAGCCAAUCUCUCGCCUGCCCAAGUGCCAUGGAUCGGUAUGAAAUGUGCCGACUUCGUCAAGCGAUCCACAAUCACCCAAAUCGCAUCGUGGCCACCCGCCGAACGAGGUAAGCCGACGACGAAAUCCAUCGAUACAUCUUCCCACUUCCAGACGGGAAUAGGUAAACCUUGAAGCUUCCCCGCUGGAAAUCGACGCUCCGCUUUAACCUGUUGGCAUACCAAGCACUUCGCCACAAAGCGCCCAAUAUCCGCUUUUAGUCCCGGCCACCAAUAGAGCAACUUCAACUCGUGGAAUAUCUUGGUGCCGCUUGGGUGAUCAGCAUAAGGAGACCAAUGUGACUCCUGCAAUACAAGCUUGCGAAGCUCCUCGUCCGUAGGUACACACCACCGGUUCUUAAACCGAAGUGCACCAUCAGCAUCCAUAGCGAAGUCUCCACCUCGGCCAUCAACUAUGCUCUGGCGCACCUUUUGGAGAAAUGGGUCCGCCAGCUGCAAACUUUUAAUCUUGUCCAAUAGGGUCGGCUGGACCACAAGCGCCAACAAUAUCGUCGGAACCUCAGGAGCUACAACCUCAAGAUCCAUCCUUCCCAUUUGCAACCGUAGGGACGUCUGAUCGGUAACUCACAACGCUAGAUUUUCAACAGACUUCCGGCUAAGCGCAUCGGCGACUACAUUCGCCUUCCCGGGGUGGUAGAGAAUAUCAACAUCGUAAUCCUUAAGCAACUCCAACCACCGCCGCUGUCGCAGAUUCAGCUCCUUCUGGGUGAACAAAUAUUUUAAGCUUUUGUGGUCGGUGUAGAUCUCGCAAUGAGCACCAUAUAGAUAAUGCCUCCAGAGCUUCAAGGCAAAGAUCACCGCCGCCAACUCUAAAUCGUGAAUGGGGUAAUUCUUUUCAUAGCUCUUAAGCUGACGGGAUGCAUAGGCAAUAACCUUCCCGCCCUGCAUCAACACACACCCCAAACCCAGAUAAGAAGCAUCACUGUAGACGGCAUAGUCCUGCCCCUGCACCGACAAGGCAAGCACCGGAGUCGAAGUUAAUCUUUGCUUCAACUCUUUAAAACUCCGGUCGCACUCGUCGCUCCAAACGAACUUGGUGCCCUUCUGAGUCAAGCGGGUAAGUGGAAUCACAAUCUUAGAGAACUCCUCCACGAAUCGUCGAUAAUAACCUGCUAGGCUCACAAAGCUACGAACCUCAGCUACACUCGUCGGGCGCGGCCAAUUCUCAAUAGCUUCAACUUUUCUCAGGUCAACUGAAACACCACCCUCGGAAAUAACAUGCCCGAGAAAUGCAACCUCCCUGAGCCAGAAGUCGCACUUCUUCAGCUUUGCGUACAACUUCUUCUCCCGAAGAAUCUGAAGUACCGUGCGCAAAUGCUCCGCGUGCUCCUCGUCGCUACGCGAAUAUACCAAAAUGUCGUUUAUGAAGACUACGACAAAUCGGUCCAAGCACUCCUGGAACACUCAGUUCAUCAAGCUCAUGAAUGCUGCCGGGGCAUUUGUGAGCCCAAACGGCAUCACCGUGAACUCAUAGUGUCCAUAACGCGUGCGAAACGCCGUCUUCUGAAUAUCUUCCGGCUUGAUCUUUAACUGAUGAUAGUCGGACUGAAGGUCAAUCUUAGAAUACACUCGCGACCUCUGCAACUGAUCAAACAGGUCGUCGAUACGGGGUAGCGGGUACCUGUUCUUCACCGUGACCUUGUUCAACUCGCGGUAAUCCACGCAGAGUCGAAAAGAUCCAUCCUUCUUUCGCACGAAUAAUACCGGGGCACUCCACGGCGAAACGCUCGACCUAAUGAAUUCCUUAUCGAGGAGAUCCUGCAAUUGAUCUCUAAACUCCCUCAGCUCGGCCGGCGCCAUGUGAUACGGGGCCUUAGAAAUCGGUGCUGUCUCGGGAACCAAGUCAAUCAUGAACUCGAUCUCCCGGUCCGGCGGCAUACCCGGUAGCUCCGCGGGAAACACGUCGGGGAACUCUCGCACAACCGCCAACUCUUCGAGGGUCGGAACUACUCGAUCAAUCUCCACAACGGUCGCCAAAAAGGCUGCGCAACCGCUGUUCACAAACUUCCUCGCUCUAGUCGCCGAUACCGUCGCGGCGAAGCACGAGCUCUUGCAAGCUCGAUAGGUGAACUCAACCUGACCCGGCUCUCGAAAUGUGAUAACACGAGUCGGGCAAUCGAUCGAUACAUAGUACUUUGAGAGCCAAUCCAUGCCCAAGAUUACGUCGAACUCCUUCAACCUUUGGAGCACCAACAAGUCGAUCGGCAUAACCCAGUCAUUCACUUGCACUGGACAUGCCAAACAUCGCUCCCUAACCAUAAAGGAUCGCCCGGGGCCCUCAACAUGCCACACGUGCUCCCCUAGACGAUACUCGAUAUCGUGUGCUUGUGCGAAGGAUCGACUAAUAAAGGAGUGUGAUGCGCCGGUAUCAAACAAAGCUCUAGCUCGAACACCUUUAACCAAAAUUAUACCUGCCACAACGUUGCGCUCGCCGGCCUCAGAAGGCUCCUCAACAUGCACGGGUGCAGCAUACAUCCUCCCGCUCGGCGCUGAUCGUGCAGGCUCUGGUUGGCGUGGCGCCGCUGCUCGCCCAGUAGAUGCUGCAGGAGGGGGCAAGGCAUAACGAGCUGGAACCGCCGGGGCCGAUGCAGUCGACAUAGCGAACGAAGCUCCUCCGUGAGGACAGUCACGGAUGACAUGUCCCGCUUGCCCGCACUUGAAGCACCUCCCUCGGCGCUGCUCAUAAACACCCGGCCGGUGGUCUCCACCGCAAAAGACACAUCGCUGAGCACCGCGACCCUUGGGCUGAGAGCGUGGAUACUUCGGGGGCCUCUUGGAGCUAGACUGACCGCCCGAACCACCGCCCUGUCUCUUCUUACCCUUGUCCUUGUCAAGCGCCUCACGGUCCUCACGCUCGCAAGCGUUCCCGUGCUCAACCCAUAGUGCGCGGUCUAAAACCUCCGCCAAAGAGUGGAACUUGAAGGCAUGCACCAAUCUGAAAACUCCGGGCUGUAGUCCCCGAACAAAACAAUCCGCCCGGUCCUGCUCUGUCGCCGCCACGUUCGGGACGCAACUCAGGAGAUGGGUGAACUCCCGCUCGUACUCUCGAACCGUGCGGUUGCCUUGCUUGAGCUUGCGAAAAUCUUCCCGCAUCUUCCUCUUAUCACUGUCGGGGAAGUACUCGGCGAACAUCAGCUUGCGGAACUCCGCCCAAUCGAUCGGGGGAAGCUCCGAGGAUCGGUCCUUCUUAACCCUCCUCCACCAAGUCCUGGCCCGCUUCUCGAAGCAAUGAGCGGCCAAGUUCACCUUGUCCUUCUCCAAGGUGAAGAUGUCCUCAAAUAGAGUCUCCAUAGCUGUCAGCCAAGACUCCACCGUCGCUGGAUCCACCACCUCUCCGUCGAAAGUAAGCGGGUGAAACUUCGUGAACCUCGUGAGUGCCACAUAGCCGCGCUCACGCUCCGCCUCCUCAGCCGCCACCACGAGUGUAGGAGAACUCGAACUCUCCGGAGGAAUAUCCACCGGUGGGGGUUGCGCCGCCACCGGAACCGAUACGCCACCCACACCCUCGGCCGCAUCAGGGGCACGAACCGAAGGCGCAGGCGGACCAUGGCCUAGACCUGCCGCCGAAGCCGCCGCCAUAGCCUGCUGCUCCAGCAGCUCCUGAAUCCUAUCUAACCGCCCAGUGAGCGCCGCAACCUGCGCUCGCAGCUCCUGCACCUUAGUAGGCCCAACUGGCCCUGGCACCACUGGAGGCACGGCUGGCCCGGGCACCUCUCGAGGUGGUGCCGGAGCGGUCCUACGCACAUAGCGUCUCUUUGGUGCCAUAGCUCCUGAAAUGCAAACAGUUGGUUAAUUACUUAACUCAACAACAUCGUCGUAAACGCGAUACAUAACGAUUAAACAACAUCAAUCAGGCGGUAGCUUACAAGUGUCUUAAUUCUCGACUUUCGGCAUCGUGUUCUCGGCUGCCAACACAAUCACCUGAAGCCAAAAAUUAAUACCACUUGGAUCAUCUCUAGUCAUAACUAGAGUAACAACACCAACUCCAAACCCAAUCAAUUAGCUUCCGCCGCGUCAUAGGUUCACGUCGCACUCACGCACCUAUAACCUUAGGGUUAACCAACCUAGGGUCUCCUAGGUCAUCCUAGACUCUCCUUUUUGCUUGCUCUUAACCUCGCUCUAAUACCACAACUGUCACGCCCCGACCGCACGACCCGAAAACGGUAACUAUUUGGUCCGGUUCGAGGGCGGCGGCGUGAGGCCGAACGGACAGAGUCUCCUCUAUCCGCCCAAGGCUAACCAACGAGAUUGUGUACAACAAGUCCCCGGGAAAAAACAACUUGAUUUCAUACACAAUCAAACAACGAUAAUACAAAAAGUGUUAAAACCAUCGAGAGCAAGCGAUACUAGUAAAAGCAUACAAGUAUAUAAAAGAGAGAAACUUAACUAUUUGAACUAUGAAAUUUAAAGCAUUAAAUACAACUUGCAUUAAACUUCAUACAUUGUUUUUCAAUCUUUUCCAAAAUGUAAAUACAUCAACAUCUACUCUCAAAAUAUAAAGACAGGGUGGAGCUAAUGCAAGUAGAAAGUAAGCUAUCAACUAAUACAGCUAGGGCGCCAAGCCCUUGCCGCGAUCAUCUCGCUAGGUCGGGGCACUCGAACUAGCACCUGCAACAACGGGUGUGAGAACUACGAAUAGUUCCCAGUGGGUUCUGCCGCCGACUCCACCGAUCUACCCACUAGGUCGAAGCAGGCAUAGAGAGAUAUAUGCAAUAUAUAUAUAUAAAGCUAAACCAACUAAGAGCAGGUAUGAUAACUGAGCAAGUAAGGAACGUAAGCAAGUAGGUAUAAUCAUGAAUAUCUAGCUAUGCCUCAAUCUGAUAUCAUGCAUGCAUGAACGAUAAUAAAGCUAUGUGAUAAGCUGCUAUGAACAGCAACAACAAGUAAGCUAAUAUGAACAACCAUAGGGAAGCUACUAUAGACAACAAGUAAUGAGUGUGACUCAAUAAGUUACCCAAUCUCAUGGUGAACUCGAGGUUCACAAGCAUAACUCACGUGUAAGUCUCAUAUGGAAAGUCUCACUGAACUACUCCCGAGACCGCCUGCGGACAGCACACAGACCGUCCAGACAGCACACUGACUAUCCCUCUAGUGACCAACCUCCGGAGUGCACAGCUUGCGGGGAGCGACCCCUCCAAGCGCAGACAGGCUAUGUGAGCACGAUCAACUCACGAACAACAGCAACCUACCCUCUAAGGGUAAUCUCAUCAUGGAAUCAAGGUGUUCUUGUACCCAAUCUCAUAGUGUCUCAACUACACUAAGGUUCUCAUAUCAAAUUAUCAACAAUCAUAUGUCCUUCAUCAUAGUUUUCUAUAACUAGAUGCCACUUGUCAUAGUUUUCUAAACUAGAUGCCACUCGUCAUUUAGACUCAUUUUCAACACUAGUUACAUCAUACUAGUUCUUUAAUCUCAUAAACAUUAACC
rnacentral:lncRNA from 1 species